rnacentral:ncRNA from 1 species
CUUAUCAAGAGUGGCGGAGGGACCGGCCCUGUGAAGCCCGGCAACCUGCAUUUGCAAGGUGCCAAAUCCGGCGAGAAAUCGGCAGAUGAG